GUGAAUGCGGCACUGCGGGCACCGUUUGGUUUGCACGACAACGCUGACAGGGGUGCUGCACCCAGAGAAGCAUGGUGAUCGGACAACUCUGGGCCCCCAGCUGCCCGGGUGAGAGCUGCAUCAGAGAGGGCAUUUCAUGCCCAUGCUGCCAAGACCGCUUCUAUGAUACACCCGUGCGUUGCGUUGCAUGCAACAUCUUUUGCGAGUAUUGUCUGCUGAAACCAAAUCAUGAAAGUAUGCGGAAGCUAAAUCCUUGAUGUACGGCAACGGACGCGCUUCGUUGCUGCCGCCUUCGCAGCGUCUGACGAUGUCACUG
rnacentral:lncRNA from 1 species